rnacentral:misc_RNA from 1 species
UGGGGGUUUAGCUCAGUUGGCUAGAGCAUCGGCUUUGCAAGCCGAGGGUCAAGGGUUCGAGUCCCUUAACCUCCAUUGGGCUUAUGUCCUAAAUUGUAAUUAAGUAUGUUUUUAAGCAACUUUAUUAAAGUAAUUGUUGGAAUGUGAAACAGAGGAAGUUAAAAUUUCUGGGUUAAGUUGAGAUCUGUUGAUAUUAAGAAGAAUCUCUAGAAGCAAAAGCAAGCUUUCGAUAAAACCCGAAGUUGUUUCGCUAAAGUGCAAGGAUUAAACAGGAUUGUAUUUUCCAGCAGCCUAUUUUAUAAACGAUCUGCAUUUAGUAAAUAGUUUUUAGUUAGGAAAUAAUGUAGAUUGCUAAGUGUGAUGUCUGAAAGAAGGACAAGUAUUGUAGCGAGCCUAAAUCCUUGUUAUCGUUGCCAGUAUUUAGUGGUAGGGAUUCGGAUAAGACUGCUAUUUAUAAGUUGGAGGAAGGCAAAGAUUGCAUCAAAUCGUUAUCGCUCUUAUGUUUUAGGUUACAAGUUUGCCACAAUAACCCAAAAAAGCUAAGCAAAAUGCUAUAAAGCAGAUUUCAGUUUGGAUUUGCCCGACACUCAAUGGCAUGAAGUUGUAAUUGUUAGUAAUCGUAUAUACCUUAAUAUAGAAAUUGAAUAAAUUUUUGUUUUUCUUAUUAAUUAUAGCUCAAAACAGUAU